CACAGCAACCCACUUUCUGUUUCCAAGAUUUCUGCUACUUCUUGAGCAGCUUCAUUGCUAUGUUCAUUACAAGUAGUAAUGUACUUAAUAUCUGAUUGAUCUUUACUUUUUAAUAUUUUACAAAUCCAGCCCCUUAAAAAUCUAAAUAUUCUUGAUUUACCCCAUCACUUUUAAUUCGUAUAUCUCGAAGCAGCAAAGUGAUGUUGAAAAACUCAAAGAAGAAAAAGAAAGGAGACUAAAGCCAAAAACACGAAGAGCACAAAACUAGCUAGAUUCAUGCUUUCAGAUUUCGACUGGUGAGUCUAAUCUGUAUAAACCUUAAAUUAUUGCAAAUCGUCCUUGUUCUUAUCGAAUCUACUGUUCUGGUAUGAAAUUUUUGGUUUGUCCAUAUCUGUUCUGACUUUGUUGCCGACAAAAACUAGUAAAGCUAAGCUCGUUCAAUCGUUUGUCAUGUUUAAUUGAAGCAGUGAAUUGUUCUUCUUCCUCUAUUGGAUGUGGAUUUUUUCUAAUUUGGAACCAUGAAAGUAGAAAUCUUCGGGAAUCUUCUUGGCCUGAUUCUGACUCAGAUUUUGUAAUUUGAAAGUUUAAUCUAGAGCAAGUAUUUUCUUAAAUGUCUAAUUAACAAUUUUUUAAAAUUCAUUUUCCGUUCGGUUCGGUUUACAUGGUAUUGAAAUAAGAAUUGAUUUUGGGUUCGGUUUACACUGGUUUAGAGAACAAAAAAAUAAAAGAGUCACGCGAUGGAAAUUUUGGAGAGAAGUGCGUCGAUUAAAAUAGGCAUGAUUUCUAAAGGUAAACCCCUUCAGGAAUUGCUCUCACUCACGCAACGCGCACUUUGUGCGAGUGGUUGCGAAAUAGAGCCUUCUGAUUGGCUGAAAAACUCUAAAAAAAGUGAAAUAGUAUACAUGUUGCUAGCUCCUCUCCAUUUAGUUUUUCGUCUUCUUCUCUCAAUCUGAUGGAAGUUGUUGUUUUCUAAAGAUACAAUUGAUUCUAUUGGAGGUUUUGGGUUAUAUUUGAAAUCCAUUCAUGUCACCAAAAGAACACAUAAUUUUGUGAAUCUGUAUGCUGGCAAUGUUUCAUUAAACGAUUCUGUUUUCAUAGAGUUAGUUAAACAAAUAGAGGACAACUUUUUGAAAAGUGAUUUGACAAUACUUUGUUUAACUCUCUUGAUAACAUCACCACUUCAUUGACCACUGUGGUUUUAAAAAGGAUUGCUCACAAACUGCUUUGUUUUUAUAAUUUUUUCCAUUUCGUUUUAAGAAAACAGAGAUUUUGAUUUCUUCAGUCCUCUGUUCUUGAAAUAGCCAACCAUAUACAUUUAGACAACUGCCAUUAGAAAUCCACAAGGACAACCUAUAACUGCAGCUUUUCAUGAAAAGAUUGUUUCCUUCCUCUAGCUGCUUGGUCUGUGUAGAGCAUGGUUGUUGGAUUUGCAUUCCACAUAGUUUGUUGUUGUUCGCGUAAAAUGUUUGGAUCGUUCAGUCUGUCUAGCUGAGGACUCUCAGGGAUUCUACCUGUAAGUUUGUUGUUGCUCAACUCCAAUAUAUUCAGCUCGCUGAGCUUGGAUAGUCGCCUGAGAGGUUAUUGUGUGAAAGUUCUUCUCAAGAUUUGCAAAACUUUGUGGGAUCAAUCCAGAGAUGUCGUUGUAUGAGAGGUUAAAAAAUGGGGCUUGUUCUUGGAGAGGUCUAUCAGAAUGUAGAGUGAAGCUGUACAUGAAAGGCAAAAGCGAAGACGAGCUCGGGAGAGAUUCUUUCAGAGCUUGUGAGAUUCCCAAGAGAUGAAGGGAGAAAUCCAUCAAGAUUGUUCUCACAGAGAUCCAAUACCUUGAUCCUGAGAAGUUGUUUUCAGACAGCAUCAAUAUCAUGACCCAUGUUUUGCCUACCGUAUCAGGAAUCUGACCAGAGAAGUUGUUUCUUGGUAGCGCAAGAACCGAUAAGCUUAUAGACUGAAACAAACUAGGAGGCAAUGAACCUGAGAGUUUGUUGUCUGACAAAAUUAUGGAUCAGCCAACCAUUUGGGAAAACUUCCUUCAAGUUUGUUCAUGCUCAGAUCAUCUAGGAAAAGAAGAGCUGUUUGAUUCUUGAGCCAAUCCGGAAACCACAAGAUCUAAGUGACAGAUGUGUUAACUUAGAGUGUGCAUAGACAGAGCCAUUCUCGUUCCAUUGGAGUUUGAAACAUUUCACUUUCUAGCAAAUGUUAAAUCAUUAAAUUA